UACGUAGGGUCCGAGCGUUGUCCGGCAUUAUUGGGCGUAAAGAGCUCGUAGGCGGUGUGUCGCGUCGGCCGUGAAAACCUGGGGCUUAACUCUGGGCUUGCGGUCGAUACGGGCAUCACUUGAGUUCGGCAGGGGAGACUGGAAUUCCUGGUGUAGCGGUGAAAUGCGCAGAUAUCAGGAGGAACACCGGUGGCGAAGGCGGGUCUCUGGGCCGAUACUGACGCUGAGGAGCGAAAGCGUGGGGAGCGAACAGG
rnacentral:rRNA from 1 species